rnacentral:rRNA from 1 species
UCAAGUUAUUAAGGGUGCAGGGCGGAUGCCUUGGCACUAGGAGCCGAUGAAGGACGUGAUAAGCUGCGAUAAGCUUCGGGGAGUUGCACGUAAACUUUGAUCCGAAGAUUUCCGAAUGAGGAAACUCACUUAGAGUAAUGUCUAAGUAUCAUUAAGUGAAUACAUAGCUUAAUGAGGGGAACUCAGGGAACUGAAACAUCUAAGUACCUGAAGGAAGAGAAAGAAAUUCGAUUCCGUAAGUAGCGGCGAGCGAACGCGGAUUAGCCCAAACCAAUAAAGUUUUCUUUAUUGGGGUUGCGGACAUAUCAUAACGAAGAGGUAUCGUAAUUGAAGAGGUUUGGAAAGACCCACCACAGAAGGUAAUAGUCCUGUAUGUUAAACGAGAAGACUUCAGAUAUGAUCCAGAGUACCACGGGACACGUGAAACCCUGUGGGAAGCAGGAGGGACCACCCUCCAAGGCUAAAUACUACCUAGUGACCGAUAGCGUAUAGUACCGUGAGGGAAAGGUGAAAAGAACCCCGGGAGGGGAGUGAAAUAGAACCUGAAACCCUGCACUUACAAGCUGUGGAAGCACAUUUCUUGUGUGACCGCGUACUUUUUGUAGAACGGGCCAACGAGUUACGUUAAGUAGCAAGGUUAAGCACUUAAGGUGCGGAGCCGUAGCGAAAGCGAGUUUUAACUGAGCGUUCAGUUACUUGACGUAGACCCGAAACCGGGCGACCUACCCAUGAGCAGGAUGAAGCGAAAGUAAAAUUUCGUGGAGGUCCGAACCCACGAGCGUUGAAAAGCUCGGGGAUGACUUGUGGGUAGCGGUGAAAUUCCAAUCGAGCCCGGAGAUAGCUGGUUCUCCCCGAAAUAGCUUUAGGGCUAGCCUCAAGGUGAGAGAUACGGAGGUAGAGCACUGAAUGUCCUAGGGGGUAUUGCACCUACCGAAGACUAUCAAACUCCGAAUGCCGUCAUCUUAUACUUGGGAGUCAGACUGUGGGUGAUAAGAUUCAUAGUCGAAAGGGCAACAGCCCAGAUCGUCAGCUAAGGUCCCUAAAUGUAAGUUAAGUGGUAAAGGAUGUGGGAUUGCACAGACAACCAGGAUGUUGGCUUAGAAGCAGCCACUCAUUCAAAGAGUGCGUAAUAGCUCACUGGUCGAGUGAUCCUGCGCCGAAGAUUUCCGGGGCUAAAACUUACUACCGAAGCUACGGCAUCAGUAAUGAUGGGUAGGGGAGCUUCCCAUACGGGUUGAAGCAUGACCGUAAGGACAUGUGGACAGUAUGGGAGUGAGAAUGUUGGCAUGAGUAGCGAGAUGUGGGUGAGAAUCCCACAGGCCGUAAACCCAAGGUUUCCAGGGGAAGGUUCGUCCGCCCUGGGUUAGUCGGGACCUAAGCUGAGGCCGAAAGGCGUAGGUGAUGGACAACAGGUUGAUAUUCCUGUACUACCGAUAACCGUUUGAGAGAAGGGAUGACACAGUAGGAUAAGCUAAGCACACUGUUGGUUAUGUGUGCCCAAGCAUUGAGGCAGUCAAAGUAGGCAAAUCCGCUUUGAUAAUGCUGGGAUGUGAUGGGGAGCGAAAUUUAGUAGCGAAGUAGCUGAUUUCACACUGUCAAGAAAAGUCUCUAUCGAGGUUAAAGGUACCCGUACCGCAAACCGACACAGGUGGGUGAGGAGAGUAUCCUAAGGCCAGCGAGAGAACUGUUGUUAAGGAACUCGGCAAAAUGACCCCGUAACUUAGGGAUAAGGGGUGCCACCAUCAGGUGGCCGCAGAGAAUAGGCCCAAGCGACUGUUUACCAAAAACAUAGGUUUCUGCUAAGUCGCAAGACGAUGUAUAGGAGCUGACGCCUGCCCGGUGCUGGAAGGUUAAGGGGAUCUGUUAGAGCAAUCGAAGCAGUGAACUUAAGCCCCAGUAAACGGCGGCCGUAACUAUAACGGUCCUAAGGUAGCGAAAUUCCUUGUCGGGUAAGUUCCGACCCGCACGAAAGGCGUAACGAUUUGGGCACUGUCUCAACAACAGACUCGGUGAAAUUGUAAUUCCGGUGAAGAUGCCGGAUACCUGCGACAGGACGGAAAGACCCCAUGGAGCUUUACUGUAGCUUGACAUUGGGUCUUGGUACUACAUGUACAGGAUAGGUGGGAGGCUUUGAAACCAGGACGCCAGUUUUGGCGGAGCCAUCCUUGGGAUACCACCCUUGUAGUACUGGGACUCUAACCAUAGGCCAUGAAUCUGGUCUUGGGACACUGUCAGGUGGGCAGUUUGACUGGGGCGGUCGCCUCCCAAAAGGUAACGGAGGCGCUCAAAGGUUCUCUCAGUACGGUCGGAAAUCGUACGUAGAGUGUAAAGGCAAAAGAGAGCUUGAUUGCAAGACAUACAGGUCGAGCAAGGAUGAAAAUCGGACUUAGUGAUCCGGUGGUUCUGCGUGGAAGGGCCAUCGCUCAACGGAUAAAAGCUACCCUGGGGAUAACAGGCUUAUCUCCCCCAAGAGUCCACAUCGACGGGGAGGUUUGGCACCUCGAUGUCGGCUCAUCACAUCCUGGGGCUGUAGUAGGUCCCAAGGGUUGGGCUGUUCGCCCAUUAAAGUGGUACGCGAGCUGGGUUCAGAACGUCGUGAGACAGUUCGGUCCCUAUCCGUCGCAGGCGUAGGAAAUUUGAGAAGACCUGUCCUUAGUACGAGAGGACCGGGAUGGACGUACCUCUGGUGUACCAGUUGUUCUGCCAAGGGCAUGGCUGGGUAGCUAUGUACGGAAUGGAUAAGCGCUGAAAGCAUCUAAGCGCGAAGCCAACUUCAAGAUAAGAUUUCCCACCGCAAGGGUAAGACCCCAGAAAGACUAUCUGGUUGAUAGGUCGAAGGUGUAAGUGCAGCAAUGUAUUUAGCUUAUCGAUACUAAUAGGUCGAGGACUUGACCAA